GACGAACGCUGGCGGCGUGCUUAACACAUGCAAGUCGAACGAAGAGCGAUGGAAGCUUGCUUCUAUCAAUCUUAGUGGCGAACGGGUGAGUAACGCGUAAUCAACCUGCCCUUCAGAGGGGGACAACAGUUGGAAACGACUGCUAAUACCGCAUACGAUUUAACCUCGGCAUCGAGGAAAGAUGAAAGGUGGCCUCUAUUUAUAAGCUAUCACUGAAGGAGGGGAUUGCGUCUGAUUAGCUAGUUGGAGGGGUAACGGCCCACCAAGGCGAUGAUCAGUAGCCGGUCUGAGAGGAUGAACGGCCACAUUGGGACUGAGACACGGCCCAGACUCCUAGGGAGGCAGCAGUGGGGAAUCUUCCGCAAUGGACGAAAGUCUGACGGAGCAACGCCGCGUGAGUGAUGACGGCCUUCGGGUUGUAAAGCUCUGUUAAUCGGGACGAAAGGCCUUCUUGCGAACAGUUAGAAG
rnacentral:rRNA from 1 species